AUGAAAACUAUUGCAGGUGAGCUGAACGAUAUUUGGAAAAAAGAAGAGAUCAAAGCUAGACAAAGGUCAAGGGAGAGGGAGAUUUUAGAAGGUGAUCUCAACACUGGUUAUUUCAAAGCUGUGGCAAGCCAAAAAAGGAGGAAGAAACAGAUUCUGAUGCUGGAAAAGGAUGAAGAUAAAAUUGAUAUCACACUGAAAGAUGACUUUUGGAGUGAGAAUGAAUUAGUCUCUGAAGCUCAUAACAACAUUUUAGACACUGCUUUUACUGAGAAGGAAAUUAGGGAUGCUAUAUUCAGCUCUUAUGCUGAAGGAGCGCCUGUCCCUGAUGGCUUUCCUUUUUAUUUUAUCAGCAAUUCUGGGACCUUAUUAAAGGCAGCCUGUUUGCUUUAUUUAGAGAUGGGGAGAAAGGAGAAUUAG
rnacentral:rRNA from 1 species